rnacentral:rRNA from 1 species
UCUGUAGGCGGUAUGGUAAGUUACUUUUCAAAUAUCCCGGCUCAAUCGGGAAAAGGGGAGUAAUACUGCUUUACUAGAAUUAUUUUAGGGAAAUCGGAAUUUAUGGAGGAGUAGUGAAAUGCGUUGAUACCAUAAAGAACACCAAUGGCGAAGGCAGAUUUCUGGAAGAUAAUUGACGCUGAGAGACGAAAGCUAGGGGAGCGAACC